rnacentral:rRNA from 1 species
GAUGAACGCUGGCGGCGUGCCUAAUACAUGCAAGUCGAGCGAACAGACGAGGAGCUUGCUCCUCUGACGUUAGCGGCGGACGGGUGAGUAACACGUGGAUAACCUACCUAUAAGACUGGGAUAACUUCGGGAAACCGGAGCUAAUACCGGAUAAUAUAUUGAACCGCAUGGUUCAAUAGUGAAAGACGGUUUUGCUGUCACUUAUAGAUGGAUCCGCGCCGCAUUAGCUAGUUGGUAAGGUAACGGCUUACCAAGGCAACGAUGCGUAGCCGACCUGAGAGGGUGAUCGGCCACACUGGAACUGAGACACGGUCCAGACUCCUACGGGAGGCAGCAGUAGGGAAUCUUCCGCAAUGGUCGAAAGCUUGACGGAGCAACGCCGCGUGAGUGAUGAAGGUCUUCGGAUCGUAAAACUCUGUUAUUAGGGAAGAACAAAUGUGUAAGUAACUAUGCACGUCUUGACGGUACCUAAUCAGAAAGCCACGGCUAACUACGUG